UCCCUGUGUGCUCUUCUCUUUUAGGGUGUUGGCAAACCUUAUGGAAACUGGAACCAGGUUUGUGUGG
ensembl:miRNA mdo-mir-12340 mdo-mir-12340